rnacentral:lncRNA from 1 species
ACCACCUUCUUCCUCAAUCAUCAGCAUCAGCAACCGCUAUGAAUUUCACAAGUUAUACUGGAGAUCGUUGGAUUGAAUUUGAAGGUGGCAGGUGUGCAUGAACGCUUACACUUGCCGCACACAGAGCUGGAAAUUAACUGUAAGUGUCAUUUACAUCGAUGUAUUCAUGUGUUUGAGUGAUAACUGAUAAGUUUGUAUUGCAGUAGUUUGAUUAUGGAACUCAAUUGUAUGUCUGUGUGUUCUGCCGUUCAUAGAGCUAGAAAGUAAGUGUAAGUGAAUGGCAGAACGAUUAGACUUACAACAAAGCUAGAUAUCGACUACUGUAUGUGAACGGCUGAACGCCUACACUUAAAGCAUACAACGAUAGAAAUUAACCUUUUAAGUGUCAUUUAUAUCGAUGCAUUCAUAGUCUUUGAGGUAUAAGUUUGUAUUGCAGUCAUUUGAUUAUAGAGCUCAACCGUAGGUCUAAGCGUUCUGUCAUUCAUAGAGCUAGAAAUCAAAUGUAAGGGACCGGUAGAAAGCUUAGACUUGCAACAUACUCAGCUAGAAAUCAACUGUAAGUGGCUGAACGCGUACAAUACUAGAAGUCACCUUUUAAGUGUCAUUUUCAUUUUGAGACCUCGCCAUACGGCUUGAAAUUGAACGUAUACAAGGAUUAUUAAUACAUACACGUCACUCUGUUUUGUUUCUAUGGAUUCUAUACGAAAUGUGGUAAUUAUGUUUCAGUGUUAAUUUAGCAAAGCACAGAGAGAUUUACAACAUCAAAUCUAAUCAGGAAUGGAUUAUUUGGCUAGAUUAUGUUGUAUCCUUGCACUUUAGUUGUAUAAGAAAUGCUAUAGAAAUGGAUAUGCUUUUGUUGACUCGAUUGUCUCUCGAAACUCCCGCAAUCAACCUGUGUUUGUUUCUCUGUUACAAUGUUAUGUCUUUACCUGUAGGUUAAUUUGAUUUCAAGUGGUUAGAUACUUACACUAGCCAAUAUAUUUAAGUUGAAUAGACUUGCAUUAAGAAUUGAUGGCUUACCAUAAGAUAUGCCGACUGUUAUUAAUAUAAUAUAAUACCAUCGUCAUGUGAAGCCGGUGCCCACCCUGACUGGUCUUAUACGUCUUGGAACUCUUCGUAUAAAUUCAAACGCUAAUACAAAAAUGCUAAAUAUGUAUAGCACGAUGCGCCUAACUGUUUCAGCAAUGCUACCUUCCGACUUGUAUCCACUAGAGAAAUUCAUUGACCAGAAGCCUGAGAAAAUAAAAAUGUGUAUCGGUUUAUUAUGACCUAUUCUCUUAGCCUAAUUGAUAACUAGCUUUUAAUUUGAGUUUGACUUAAUCUAUCUUACCAGUGCUCUUCUCUGACAAAUUGGUCCAGUCAUGCGGGCUUGUCUUGCUUUCUGCUGCCUUUAUCAGUUCAAGCAAAGCUUCAUUGACCUGAAUUUGCAACGUUUUCGCAUGUAUCAGUCAACUCAUAUUUGACUCUGUAAGAUUUAUGGGUCUGCUUCUUUUUGUUUUACUUGAGGAUAAAAUCAUGAAAGUGUAAAUGGCCAAACCUCAGUGACGAAAAUAGCAUUUUACUCAAUCAUGAAGCUUCAAUAUAUUGUUUUAAUAAAGUCACUCAAUACUUUUUUCUAACUAUAAAAACCACUCAAGUUUCAUUAUUGGUACUAUUGUUGUGAAGUUUUUCAUAAUUGUUUAAACUGAAUACAACGUAGUAGUGACCAAGAUUCAUAUAUGUUCGACUUAAGUCACUUACUUUUAACAAUUUAACUUUUAUAAAGUCUCACAACAAAGGAACAAUAUUAAAAGUUUGACAAAACCUUAAUGGCUUUCAGAUAGAUAGAAAAUAAUACACUAUACAUACCUCUUUCGUCCUCUCAUGACUCACAAGAUGACCUCCGUGAAGUUCCACCAUCUUUGCAUAUGGAUAUAACUUCUUUGCAAGCCUCCUUGCAUGGGAUACUUGAGCAAUAACGUCAUAUCUAGACAUUAAUGCACCAUUAGUUUCUAAAUCAGCACAAUAGUUAUUGUGAAAAAAAGGCGUUUGAAAUUUUUAUACCUGCCAUGAAUGACGGAUAUGAGAAAACCUUCGUUGCGGAUCAUUUCUAUAUCUGUUCUAGAUAUUUUAUGCGUCCAGCAUGCAUGAAUCUGACCAUCAAACCCAUGAUUUGAUUGCAUCCCACUUGAUGAAAUCGCUUUAACAUAUUCCUGAAAUUUUUUUUGAUCAAGAACAUUUGAUGAUCAUUAUGUAAUAGAUUGUAAUGAAAAUUUUGGUAAGAUACUAGUUUGCUUCAAUAAAAACAUGCUACAUCUGUGUUUCAAAUACCAAAAUUUGGUUCUUACUCGAUAUAGUACUGCUCUUCUUGUUUCAUCUCCAACACACUCUUUAAGAUACUCCUGCAGAGAAGAAAAUAAUAAUCGUUAGCAUCAUAACAAACAAACUGCCGAAAAAAAACCUUAAAUUUGUGAAGUGGUUCCACGAUGUGGUUUAGCAUGAUAACAAACUAUGUAGGACUUUAAUACCAAGAGGAGCACUAAAGAAUAUAUGGCUAAAAGACUAAAUCCAAAUAUCGUCUUUUUUUUUUUUUAUAACCGAUGAGACCAGGUAAAACACAGGGUUAACGACAAAAAACAGUGAUUGUUGGAUUUAAACUUGAGACCUCUUCUAGAAAGAAUCAAACGCUUAUUGCUACACCACCCUUGAAGGUUCUAUGAUGGAACUUCGGAGA